AUUGAACGCUGGCGGCAGGCCUAACACAUGCAAGUCGAACGAGUGGCGGACGGGUGAGUAAUGUCUGGGAAACUGCCCGAUGGAGGGGGAUAACUACUGGAAACGGUGGCUAAUACCGCAUACCCUCGGAUGUGCCCAGAUGGGAUUAGCUAGUAGGUGGGGUACCGGCUCACCUAGGCGACGAUCCCUAGCUGGUCUGAGAGGAUGACCAGCCACACUGGGACUGAGACACGGCCCAGACUCCUACGGGAGGCAGCAGUGGGGAAUAUUGGACAAUGGGCGCAAGCCUGAUGCAGCCAUGCCGCGUGUAUGAAGAAGGCCUGAGGGUUGUAAAGUACUUUCAGCGAGGAGGCGUUACUCGCAGAAGAAGCACCGGCUAACUCCGUGCCAGCCGCCGCGGUAAUUC
rnacentral:rRNA from 1 species